GUACACUUCCCUUUGCCCUUACCACUAAUGAAGAAGCUGACUCCUCUUCACCAACUUCCAGAUGUCUCUGUAGCAAAACAGACAGAAAUAGAGAAACCUUCCUGAUGCAGGUAGCCAUCACAAGAAUAUGUUUUCAUCAGGCUCUGUGACUCUGCUCUCCCAUCAACAUUUUGUCGCAGCCUGAAGGUAAAUGCUGUCAACAAGGAGCAGAAGAUACCACAGAUGGUACUGGAAAGAUACAAACUGAACCUCCUAUCAGCAGGGAAGAGACUGUGCUCAUCUAACUUCAGCUGCCUUCAAGUUGCAUGUCCGCCAUCAACCAUUUCAUGGACUCCCCCUCCAGUCAAUGGAGUGACUCCAGAGCAUGAUUCACCAUAUCCUAAGAAUAGAGCUGGAGAUCAGUGAAACAGGAGGCCCAAAGCCAGUAACAGUGUAAAGUGCUGCUAUGGGUGCUCGACAGACUAGUGUGGUGUACCAUUCUGCCAUGCAAACCAGACACACAUUUCCGUUCACAUGGCUCACAGAAUGUUCACUUUUAGUUUUGUUCUUCCACCCAGCGC